GGUAACUACAUGCAUGUAAUGAUGAGAAUAUUUAUAUGUAUUUAUGAUUAUCACAAAAAAACAGAAAGAUUCUACCAUUCUAGAGGAACAUUUAUUUUAUUUUUUUAUUUGAGAAAAGUAUAAUUUUAUUUAUUUAUUUAUUUGUGCAAAUUUAUGGGGUACUUGAGAAAAUGUGUUACAUGUAUAUAAUGUGUAGUGAUCCAAUCAGGAUACUAAGGGUGUCCAUCACCUGAGUGUAUUACAUUUUUGUUAAGUAUAAUCAUCCUACUCCAGGAGAACAUUUUAAAAACUGUUCUGUAGAGAUACUACUCAAAUUAAGUUCUCAGUCCUGAAACAUCAGAUCAGCUAGGAAUCUGACAAAAAUGCAAGUUCUCAGAUGACAGAUGAGACCACUUGAAUCAGAAUUUCUGGAGUGGAGCCCACACAUUUGUAUUUUUGCAACCUUUCCAAUGAUACUUAUGUACAUGCUCAAGCUUGAAAACCACUUUCCUAGGACAUUAGUUCCUCGACAAGAUUUGUGAGUAACCUUGUUUCAUGAAAAAGUGUUUAGGAGAUACUGAUUCAAUAAAAACUAAUCAGGCUUUUAUUGUUUGCAGGGCUUUCAAAACUUGCAAUAGGCCACUGUGCAUUGUUAAUUUCUAAGAGGAAGAUGCUUAUGUCCUCAAUGAAUAUCUUCCUACCAUGAAGUACUCUUCUUCCCCCACUUUUUAAAACAAUUACUAACACCUGGCAGAAGUAGGCAGACAGCUUACAGCUUAGAAAAAGUUGGCCUAAGAUAAUGGCUGAUUUUCUUACAUUAUUUAUUUGUCAUCAUGCUUAUCUUUCUCUCUCUAAAUUGUAUCUUUCAUCUCUGUGAUCACAGAUUGAGCCUCAUAUUUCAUAUCUGCCCCUGGCCUAAUGGUUGUUUACAGAAAGAGCUCAAUGAAUAUUGUUAAAUAACACUAACAAAGUUGACCUUAGAAUUGGAGUGCCUGGGUUAGAACCCUGCUGGUACCACCUGCUUACUGCAUGCUUCUGAUGUGAGUUCAGGAGAAGACACUGGCAAGGACAGCAAAGAACAGGAGAACACUCUAGCUUCCCUGAUAGCAUUCAAGGUGCUGUCCAAACUGACUGUGAUGGCACCCUCCAGACAGACAGCGAUGCCACAUGUUCAAGAUGGCAGAAUCACUAUCAGCUUCAAUUCCUGAAUGACUGCAGAGCAAAAUUUCUUACCCGCAACAUACACUCUAUUUUCAGCCUCCCUGGACUGUUACAUAAUGAUACAUAAAAAUAUUUCUUGUGUUGAGGCAUCCCAAAUUUGAUCUAUUUGUCAUCACAGUCUAUCCUCUGAAUAUAUUUCUGAUCCAAAUAAUGCUAGAUUCAUGCGAGUUUAUAGUCCAGAGAUUUUUUUUUUUUUUUUUUUUUGAGACAGAAUCUCACUGUCUCCCAGGCCGGGGUGCAGUGGCAUAAUCUUAGCUCACUGCAACCUCCACCUCCUGGGCUCAAGUGAUCCUCCCUCCUUAGCCUCCAUGAGUAGCUGGGACCACAGGUGUGCACCACCACACCCCGCUAAUUAUUUUGUAUUUUUUGCAGAGGGGGGUUUCACCACAUUGCCCAAGCUGGUCUCAAACUCCUAGACUUAAGGGAUCUGCCCGCCUUGGCCUCCCAAAAUGCUGAAAUUACACUUGUUAGCCAUAGUAAUAGUUCCUAGCCACAGUCCGGAGAUAUUUUAAAAACUUUAGUGUGAGUUAUUUCUCUUUGCUGUAAUUCUCUCAUGCAUUUUGAAAACCUUUUCUGCCAUACAGUGGUUUUUGGGAAGUCCUUUUGGACAGACAUAUCACAGGAUGGAGAAACUAAAGAGAGAGAAUGCAUUAAAGAAAAAAUAGUACUUCGUAUUUCAGAAAUUACAAAAGGGUGUCAUGCCCCACAGCAUGGUGGGCAGUCAUUUGUAACCCACAGAACAUUGAGUUUCUAAAAUUUGAGUGUUUUUAACUUACGAAGGCCAACUUUACUGAUGAAGUGAUUACCCCAAAUAUGUGAAAUCCAUAUUUCAAGCACAAUAGCAGGAAAUCGGAAAUGGGUAGGUAUAUUUCUGACUGUCAAAGAGUACAAAGUAAAGAGGGGCCCCUGAAGAGUGACACUACUG
rnacentral:sRNA from 1 species